UACGGAGGAUGCAAGCGUUAUCCGGAUUUAUUGGGUUUAAAGGGUGCGCAGGUUGUUUGAUAAGUCAGUGGUGAAAGUCUGUCGCUUAACGGUAGGAUUGCCAUUGAUACUGUUGGACUUGAAUAUGGAUGAGGUAGGCGGAAUGUGUAGUGUAGCGGUGAAAUGCAUAGAUAUUACACAGAACACCGAUUGCGAAGGCAGCUUACUAACCCAUCAUUGACGCUGAGGCACGAAAGCGUGGGGAUCAAACAGGAUUA
rnacentral:rRNA from 1 species